CUACUACUCCCUCCGUCCGAAAAUACUUGUCAUUAAAAUGGAUGUAUCUAGAUGUAUUUUAGUUCUAGACACAUCCAUUUUGAUGACAAGUAAUUCCGGACGGAGGGAGUAUUAU
rnacentral:pre_miRNA from 1 species